GCUACUUCCACCACAAGCUGCUCUGACAGUCGUGCUUGAGCUUUGUAGCAUUGUUGAAGUUCCACUUCAAGAUUUUCAGCUUUCUCUUUCCACUCUGAACCCUGCAAAACGAAAGGCCUAUUGAGUGCAGCCAAAGCAGGGGCAUGGGCCCCUUCUUCUACUAAAUGACGCUUUCUUAGGGCCUUUAAAGCAUGCUUGAUGGCUUCUAUAGCAACUUCUUCGUAUGCCAUAUUUGAUCAAUUUGCCAAAUCACAAACUCAAUUUGCGAAAUUCAGAUUCGUAAGGAGCUAAUUAUGGAUUCAAUUUUUCUGUAGCAGCUGACCUUGGUUUUUU
rnacentral:misc_RNA from 1 species